rnacentral:rRNA from 1 species
GACGAACGCUGGCGGCGUGCUUAACACAUGCAAGUCGAACGGAAAGGCCCUGCUUUUGUGGGGUGCUCGAGUGGCGAACGGGUGCGUAACACGUGAGUAACCUGCCCUUGACUUUGGGAUAACUUCAGGAAACUGGGGCUAAUACCGGAUAGGAGCUCCUGCUGCAUGGUGGGGGUUGGAAAGUUUCGGCGGUUGGGGAUGGACUCGCGGCUUAUCAGCUUGUUGGUGGGGUAGUGGCUUACCAAGGCUUUGACGGGUAGCCGGCCUGAGAGGGUGACCGGCCACAUUGGGCCUGGGAUACGGCCCAGACUGCUACGGGAGGCAGCAGUGGGAGAUAUUGCACAAUGGGCGGAAGCCGGAUGCAGCAACGCCGCGUGGGGGAGGACGGCCGUCGGGUUGUAAACCGCUUGCGCCUGUGACGAAGCGUGAGUGACGGUAAUGGGUAAAGAAGCACCGGCUAACUACGUG